GCCUGGAUGGUUUAGUUGGUUAGAGUGUGGUUCUGACAAUGCCAAGGCUGCAGGUUUGAUCCCCGUAUGAGACA